AGCAGCCGCGGUAAUUCCAGCUCCAAUAGCGUAUAUUAAAGUUGUUGCAGUUAAAAGCUCGUAGUUGAAUUUCGGGAUCAAUAUUUCGGUCAUGCCGUUGGUAUGCACUGUUAUCAUUGAUUUCUCACCUUCUAAAGAACCGUAACGCCAUUAAUUUGGUGUUACGGGGAAUUAGGACUGUUACCUUGAAAAAUUAGAGUGUUUAAGGCAGGCUCACGCUUGAAUACAUUAGCAUGGAAUAAUGAAAUAGGACAUCCGAUUCUAUUUUGUUGGUUUCUAGGAUCGAUGUAAUGAUUAAUAGGGAUAGUUGGGGGCAUUAGUAUUCAAUUGUCAGAGGUGAGAUUCUUGGAUUUAUUGAAGACUAACUACUGCGAAAGCAUUUGCCAAGGAUGUUUUCAUUAAUCAAGAACGAAAGUUAGGGGAUCGAAGACGAUCAGAUACCGUCGUAGU
rnacentral:rRNA from 1 species